rnacentral:rRNA from 1 species
AGAGUUUGAUCCUGGCUCAGGACGAACGCUGGCGGCGCGCCUAACACAUGCAAGUCGAACGAGAGAUGAGGAGCUUGCUCUUCAGAUCGAGUGGCGAACGGGUGAGUAACGCGUGAGGAACCUGCCUCAAAGAGGGGGACAACAGUUGGAAACGACUGCUAAUACCGCAUAAGCCCACGGCUCGGCAUCGAGCAGAGGGAAAAGGAGUGAUCCGCUUUGAGAUGGCCUCGCGUCCGAUUAGCUAGUUGGUGAGGUAACGGCCCACCAAGGCGACGAUCGGUAGCCGGACUGAGAGGUUGAACGGCCACAUUGGGACUGAGACACGGCCCAGACUCCUACGGGAGGCAGCAGUGGGGAAUAUUGCACAAUGGGGGAAACCCUGAUGCAGCGACGCCGCGUGGAGGAAGAAGGUCUUCGGAUUGUAAACUCCUGUUGUUGAGGAAGAUAAUGACGGUACUCAACAAGGAAGUGACGGCUAACUACGUGCCAGCAGCCGCGGUAAAACGUAGGUCACAAGCGUUGUCCGGAAUUACUGGGUGUAAAGGGAGCGCAGGCGGGAGAACAAGUUGGAAGUGAAAUCCAUGGGCUCAACCCAUGAACUGCUUUCAAAACUGUUUUUCUUGAGUAGUGCAGAGGUAGGCGGAAUUCCCGGUGUAGCGGUGGAAUGCGUAGAUAUCGGGAGGAACACCAGUGGCGAAGGCGGCCUACUGGGCACCAACUGACGCUGAGGCUCGAAAGUGUGGGUAGCAAACAGGAUUAGAUACCCUGGUAGUCCACACCGUAAACGAUGAUUACUAGGUGUUGGAGGAUUGACCCCUUCAGUGCCGCAGUUAACACAAUAAGUAAUCCACCUGGGGAGUACGACCGCAAGGUUGAAACUCAAAGGAAUUGACGGGGGCCCGCACAAGCAGUGGAGUAUGUGGUUUAAUUCGACGCAACGCGAAGAACCUUACCAAGUCUUGACAUCCCUUGACGAACAUAGAAAUAUGUUUUCUCUUCGGAGCAAGGAGACAGGUGGUGCAUGGUUGUCGUCAGCUCGUGUCGUGAGAUGUUGGGUUAAGUCCCGCAACGAGCGCAACC